AGUCUCCUCCCUCCAGUUUAACAGUCUUCUUUUUACUCAGUAUUAUUGAGCCUCUGCAGCUAUUCUGCAUGUGGGCUAAGGCUCCUCAGUAAGUUUGGAAAUGCUAGGGUGCCCCCUACCGUUGUAAAUGGGGAAGCAUGUUUCUUUGCAUCUCCAUUCAGAGAACAGCAUUCUCCUGAAAAUGCUAUUUAACCAAAGUUCAGAUGCGGGAUGGUUAGUCACGUGGUAAGUGGAUGGAUGGAUGGAUGGAUGAAUGGAUGGCAAGAAAAUAAGGAUAUAUAUGAAGCCCACCUGAGGAUAAAAUUUAAAUAUAGCUACUUAAAUGUUUACCUGGUCUAGAGGUCUAUCUAUGGGGGGAAGAAGGGGAAUUGAGUAUUACAUGACCAAAAAUAUUUGCGUGUGUUCUUUUCUAAAAUAACAGUGUAUAUCUUUCAUCAUGAUUUCAAAGGGAUAUGAAACCAGGGUCAUUCUCUCUCUGUUACCUUCCCUGUCGUCUUUCUUGGUGGUAUCAAUAUCCAGCCAAAUACAAGAUGUUCAUCUGCAUGAAAAGAAAAUCUCCAGCAUCAUGCACCUCACAGCAUCCCAAGCACCAUGAGCUGUUUGAUUCCAGGAGCUGACCUGGUGCAGUGCAGCUGGUUUCACGGUUGGGCUGUCCGCUUUUUGCUGAACCUUGGUCAGAGAUGGCAUACUGCUUACGGCAGAUCCUGGAGAAAUGAUGUGCCCUCCUGGGAAAUUAACCGUAUGAUCAACUACACUUGAAAUUCAGAAGAGCUGCAGAAGCUGCUCUUCUGCAAAACACCUCAGUGCCCCUGUGCAGAACAGCGUUUUCCUGCUGCCCCACACACAGUGACAGGUAAGGAGUGUCCCCACAGAGUCAACUCCUGAAGUGGCCUCCUCCUCCACUUCCUUUCCCCCUCCUCAGGAGGCAUCCCUCCCUUAGGUCCCCAUUCCAUUGUAAUACACAGAUUAGCUGAUCUUUCCAGAAACCCGUCCAUUCUCACUCCAACCACUCAUCUGGGUUCUUUUUUUUUCCAGAUGUGUGAGACAAAGGAUGACUUCCUAGUUAAAAGAAUUUUAGGCAACAUGCAACAAGCAGGAGAUUUUUGUUUCUUUUGGCAACCCUGAACUUCUAUUUCAUAUGGCCGUUGGAGUAAUUAAGGGAUGUGAAAACACAGUCUGGGGUGUCCCUUCUCUGAUCCCCUGGGGUGGUCCCAAAGGCCAGGCAAAAGGCCUCUCCUCUGAGUUUCUCCCUUCCUCUGUCCCCUACCUCAGUGGGGAUGAAUUGUUAGAAUGAAUCUGUUAUAAUUAAGGUAGGAAUUAGUAAAUUUUCAAGUAAUCAACUCUUCAUCUGAAGUCUCAGAAAGCAUCAUAUGUCUACAUGUCUCCUCAUAUCAUUCCUAGCUCUGGAUAUGAGAGUUCUGAAGCAGCAGUUGUGUCCUAGAUUACACGCUGCCUUCCACGAGUGCAGAUCAAGCAGGCUGACCAUGCAUUGCUAUUAAUCUUUGGCCCUAAGAACCCUAGUGGCUAUUCUGAUGUAGCUGGUCACUCCUGUUUUCUAACCCACCUAGGAAGAAAAUCACCUGGAAUAUGAGGACCAUGUUUUCUAACAAACAAAACAGAAACAAGAUACAUGGGCUGACAAAGGACGUGGCAACAGGAUGGAAUAUUUUAAAUCAGAUAGCAGUAUAUAAGGAGGGUGGCAGAGUGGCCCUUCUCAUGCCUACUCUUUGGUGUUGGAGAUAUAAAACCAUGAGAUACUUACACAAGGAAAGGAGUGAUCCCUUUUGAUUGAGUUCCUUAGGAAAACAUUUCUUUUUAUACAUAGGUCCUAGUGGAUGUAUCAUAUGAGAGUAAUGUUUCCUAUCACAGAGGAAACUCUGCUCCAAGAAUUGUACCAAAAUGUCACAACCAAACUAAAUAGUAUCCUUAAGAAUCCUCUAUUUGGGGAUCCUGAUGACUUUUGUAACAUAAAAGCUCAACUUUUUAAAAGUCUAAAAUUAAAUAGUUGUUGAUAAAUAA